AUUGAACGCUGGCGGCAGGCCUAACACAUGCAAGUCGAACGAGAGGCGGACGGGAGAGCAAUGUCUGGGAAACUGCCUGAUGGAGGGGGAUAACUACCGGAAACGGGAGCUAAUACCGCAUACCAUCGGAUGUGCCCAGGUGGGAUUAGCUAGUAGGUGGGGUAAAGGCUUACCAAGGCGACGAUCCCUAGCUGGUCUGAGAGGAUGACCAGCCACACUGGAACUGAGACACGGUCCAGACUCCUACGGGAGGCAGCAGUGGGGAAUAUUGCACAAUGGGCGCAAGCCUGAUGCAGCCAUGCCGCGUGUGUGAAGAAGGCCUUCGGGUUGUAAAGUACUUUCAGCGGGGAGGCGUUACCCGCAGAAGAAGCACCGGCUAACUCCGUGCCAGCAGCCGCGGUAAUUC
rnacentral:rRNA from 1 species